rnacentral:rRNA from 1 species
UAUCGUUUAUUUGAUAGUACCUUCCUAUAUGGAUACCUGUGGUAAUUCUAGAGCUAAUACAUGCUAAAAACCCCGACUUCAGGAAGGGGUGUAUUUAUUAGAUAAAAAACCAACGCCCUUCGGGGCUCCUUGGUGAAUCAUAAUAACUUAACGAAUCGCAUGGCCUUGCGCCGGCGAUGGUUCAUUCAAAUUUCUGCCCUAUCAACUUUCGAUGGUAGGAUAGUGGCCUACCAUGGUGGCAACGGGUAACAGGGAAUUAGGGUUCGAUUCCGGAGAGGGAGCCUGAGAAACGGCUACCACA